UCCCCGUUGGUCUAAUGGUUAGGACUUGGUGCUUUCACUACUGUGUCCUGGGUUCAAUCCCUGGUCUGGGAA
rnacentral:tRNA from 1 species